AGAAUUUCCAGUCCAGAAGCAUCUCCAGAACUUCUGCUCCAGUGCUCCGUGUGGGAGUCACGCCGACAGAAAACCGAUGGAACAGAGAAACGCUGGCAGUAAUUCCAUGUAAAGCAUUCCAAGAUGUGAGCGAGGAGCUCUUGGGAUGUGCUGGAACUCUUGGAACUCCAGCUCUGCUCAGCAGCUGGACACGCUUUGUAUCCGUCACGAUAUUCCUGCCUGGAAAACGACGCUGCCUGAGCCAAGUAUGGAAACACUGGGGUGUUUUUAAUACCUGAUUUCACUGUACACACGGUCUGAUACCACUUCCAUGGAACAUCCCCUGGCUGGUUAAAGGCUUUGAUUCAUUAUUGUUCAUUAUCUGGCUUUUGUUGCUCAGCUCAGGCGCCCGAGUUCCCUCAUAAAAACGUCUCUGACACUUUUCCAAGCGUGGCCGUUGCAGCACCUUUGG
ensembl:lncRNA